rnacentral:lncRNA from 1 species
UCUGCAUGUAUUGAAGGGUAUAUUUGGCAUUUCGAAAACCAAUAUCGGAUGAAUGAGAAAUUACGAAAAAGACCUCAACCAUUAGUGAAUAGACACCUUUUCAUAAAUAUGCAUUGUUUGGAAAUGGUGCAUGGUUUGGUCUCAACCAUUUCGUCCACACCCCUUCAUGGUCUAUAAAUAGGACCCUUUGGGUGUCCUAUUCCUCACAGUUUGAUAUGCAAAACGUUUCUCAUCCUCUCUUCUAUCCAAAAUCUUUGAUUUUCUUUCAUUUCAUCCUUGGAGUACAUAAGCCUAAAUUGGUUCGUUGUACUUGUGUUUUGGAGUGCUACAAACACAAGUGUAGCCGUUGUAUCUUGGGAGUCGAUUGCCGAAAUCCGUAGGCACCGUUGCGGGGCAAAUUCGACUUAAGGACAAAGAGUCCAACUCUUGCCUCGGCUUUGUCACCAUCAUUAUACUUAUUUCAGCGUCACUAUUCACAAAAUUCAUCCAACAAA